UCCUGAGGUGGUGAUAGCACUAUCCCAGUCUCCUGGAACUCCCUGAAGAUGCUAGGACAUCCUCUGUCUGGGUUGAUUUAGAAGAAAUCUGGGUGGGACCAGACAGCAUCUCACACUUUAUUAGAAGCCACCCACAGGAGGGCACGGCAGCAGAGAUCACAUUUUAAUGGGGAGAAAGUGUGGCUGAGGGGUUGACUGGAUGGCCUAGGGUCACCCCGCUGGGGCUGGAAAUCUAUAAUUUGAAAAGCUUCUUAGUGAUUCUGAUGCGCAGUCUUGGCUGAGGACCAAAGGCCCUCAUUGGGAUCUUGCAUUUGGAUGUCAAAGGAAUAGAGCAGAGAAGACAUAAGUAGCUGCUCUGGGAGGGGCAGAGAAGAGGGACAUUUGUAGGACAUACAGCAAGGACAAAUGCUGAUGUAUGUAUUAUUGUAAAUUAAACUGUUUUUAUAAUAAUAUAUUACAAUUAUAAUUAUAAAUACAUCCACAUGCUAAAAAAAGUCGAAACAUCCAUUUGGAUAUAAAAUGAAGAGUAACCCCUACCCUGUCUUUAGGAGUUGUCUGUUCUUACAGGACAGAAGUUCUCAUUCCUGACUACAAUCUAUGGUGGUCUGAAAAAAUACAAACAUCUGGCCCCUUCCUCAGAGCUACUGAAUCACAAUGCCUAAGAAUCUGAGCAGCUGUAUUUUAAAAACUUUAUAGGUGAUUCUGACAUGCAGCUAGAUUUGUUAUCUAAUGGUUCAUAUGUUCCUUUACUUUUUUACCUAUUUAUAACGUUAUCAGGUUACUUGGGUUUUGCUGAGAGUCUAUUUUUAUCCUGUGAUCCCUCAGAAUUCUGGGCUGUCAUCUUGGCCUUUAGGGGGAAUCCACACAAAUCUGGGCAAGAACCUCCUCGCUCCACAACUGCUUUUGUACAGCACUGGAUCUUGUUGGCUCUACAGGAAGCAUCAUGCAGGAAACAUUUGUGAAAAUGUGGUUGUGAAAUCAUGGUAAUAGUAGCAACAUUAGUAUAAAUCAGACGGAAAGAAAAAAAAUAGCCCAUAAACCCUCCAUCCAUCCCAAUAAAUCAAACUACUUUCAUUUUUGCCUGUGACUUUUUCUAUCUGCAUAAGCAUGGAUACAUAAACAGUGGAAAAGUUGAUGCGACUCGGCAGUGUAUGUUUGCAUCUCUCUGAGAUCAGACCAAAAUAAUGAAAGGGUUGGUAUUCCCAGAUGGUUAAGCAAUUACCCCAAAUUAUUUGGCUUUGAACUUCCUAAAGAAAUACAAAUACUUUUCAAACAUUCUCUACCAUAAGCUAAAUGUGAAGGUGUUUUGUUCUCAGUCCAGCUACUUAAAAUCCCCAAAGAAUGUAUUUAAAAAUUUUUUCAAAAUAUGUUGUCCAAACAUUUCAAUUCUAUCUUUUUUCUUUCUUUUAUCAGAAGCUGUGGAGCUUCUAAACAAUGAUAACUUAUGGGCGGAGUUCUCUUAGAGUGUGUAAGCUCUGAGUUUGGAUUUUUUUUUUUAGGCAUUUAUUUUCAAAUCUAAAUCUUUCUUCAAUUUAUCCUCCUAUGGGGCCUAACAGAUGAAAAUGACAAUAAAUAUUUUAAA